rnacentral:lncRNA from 1 species
UUCAUUUUCUGGGAGUAUUCCUGGUGAUUUCAAGGAACUUGCAUUGUGUGGUUACCUUAGUUUGCGAGGGAAUGCUUUUUCUGGAGAGCUUCCUGAGUGGAUUGGGGAGAUGAGAGGUCUUGAAACGUUGGACCUUUCAAACAAUGGGCUUACUGGUCAGGUUCCAAACUCUGUUGGAAAUCUUCAGUCAUUGAAGAUGUUGAAUUUUUCUGGGAAUAGUUUCGGUGGUAGUCUUCCUGAGUCUAUGGCUAAUUGUACGAAACUUUUGGUGUUGGAUGCCAGCCGGAAUUCGAUGUCCGGGGGGCUUCCAUUGUGGAUUUUCAAGUCAGAUUUGGACAAGGUUUUGUUGUCGGAAAAUGGCGCAAGUGGUAGCAAGAAAAGCCCUUUGAUUUCCUUGGCUGAAGUUGCAGUUCAGAGUCUUCAAGUUUUGGAUUUGUCUCACAAUGCAUUUUCUGGUGAAAUCACAUCUGCUGUUGGAGGUUUAAGCAGCUUGCAUGUUUUGAAUUUAGCAAAUAACUCUCUUAUAGGUCCUAUACCAGCUGCAAUUGGUGAGUUGAAAACAUGUUCUAGUCUUGAUUUGAGCUAUAAUAAUCUAAAUGGAACUAUACCUUGGCAAAUAGGAGGAGCUGUGUCCUUGAAAGAACUGGUACUGAAAAAGAACUUCCUAAUUGGGAAAAUUCCAAUGUCAAUUGAGAACUGCACUUUGCUAACUACUCUGUAAGUUCCUUUUCCCUGUCCCAUCUUUCAUUUCGGCUUUUCAUACAUGCGCUUGUAUUUACAGUAGGUAUAUAAGUGUUGCUCUCAUAAUUUUCAUCAGACGGAUAACUUUUCUGCAUGCUGUAUAUUUGGUGAAAGGUGCUUAUCUCACUUUAAUACACUCUUUAAUGCAUAUAAACUAAAAAGCCAGCCUGUUUGUUCAUUGUUCAUAUGCACAUGAUGGAAUUUUUCUUUGCUUAUUAUCAUUUAUUUAUUCUAUGUUGUAUUGAAAUGUGUCUUUUAUCAUAAUACUGAAAGUCUUGGCCUCGAUUUAAUCUGGCAUGGAGUUUUGGUAUUUUUGGCUUAAUCUCGAUCAAUUCAGUAGUUUUGGAGCUGCAACAACUUGGUUAAGUUCAUCUGUACUUCUAAACUUUUAUAUGCCCACCCUGCAAAAUAGUAAAGGCACAAAGGUUGAAGAAAUUAUGUCAAUAAUUCAUAUUUGGGGAAUGGAUGGUGACGGUGACAGUGACAUGAAUGACUUAUUAUAUUUUUUCUCGGAACAUAACUAUCUGUUACUAAUGUGUGGCUUUAAAGAUAAUAGCACUGCACUUUCAUGCAUUGUUGUUUUUUUCUUAAUUAUAAUAGGAGCUAUUAUGUAGGUUUUGUAGUCCUGAGUUAAAUUUUUAAAAAUCAUACAGUAAGAUGAGAUCCAACUGCUCCUUUUUUUAUUGUUCUGAUUUCCCUGGUUCUGCUUUGUUUUCUUUACCCCUUUCUCUUUUGGUACGUUCUGUAGGAGCCUAUCCCAGAACUGGCUGAGUGGCCCUAUACCUGCAGCAGUUGCAAAACUUACCAACCUGCAAACUGUGGACUUAUCUUACAACAACCUUACUGGAAACCUUCCUAAGCAACUGGCCAACCUUGCCAAUCUUCUUGCAUUCAAUUUAUCUCACAACAACC